UGAGUAGGCGGUUGCAUAUGUCAGAUGUAAAAGGCACAGGCUUAACUUGUGUUAGCAUUUGAAACUGUGCGACUUGAGUGCAGGAGAGGUAAGUGGAAUUCCUAGUGUAGCGGUGAAAUGCGUAGAUAUUAGGAGGAACACCAGUGGCGAAGGCGACUUACUGGACUGUAACUGACGCUGAGUCACGAAAGCGUGGGUAGCAAACA
rnacentral:rRNA from 2 species